UACUAGAUGUGCUACAAGGUUCAGGUAAUGACAUUGUCUGAGAAGGGACCACUGCCUAGUAAUUUUUCAUCUAAUGCUCUUUUCUAAUCUGUCUCUCAUCAGGUGCAUUUCCUGGGAAAUCAAUUUAGAGAUCUCUCAUUUAUUUAACUGAAUGAGUGAAAAAGGGACAUCUAUAUUAUUCAAGAAUACUGACAAGCAGCAGGUCUUGCCCACCAGCUCGUGCUCCACAUAAGAAAAUGAAACCAACAAGGAGCUGAUGGGCAACAGAACAAAGACAAGAACGCAGACCUUGCUGCCCCAGCCUGGAUAAAAUAAAAUGACUAAAGAAAACAAAGAGAAAAAAAAUAAAAGAGUAAAGAAAAACUAAAUCAGUUAAAAAAAACCCUCAGAAAAAGAGAGAGAUACAUGCUUAAUUAUUCAAAUACAUGCUUCCACAUGAACCUCAGGUCUCUGAAUACUGAAAACAAAGCUGAGAGAUAAAUCAGAAGACAUGACAAAACAACAUUUUAGUUUUUUAAUACAGAUCGUAUAACUUAAACCCAAAAGUGUACUGCUAAUCUUGGAAGAUAUCCAUGUUUGUCUGUUGAAUAGUCUUUUCCCCUCCAAAACCAUAAAUGUAUUAAAAUCUAUUAGCCAGUUUUUAAUUUCAGGAAAGAUGGGAUUGUUCUGUUUGUGAUGCAGCAAUUUUCUGACCAUUAAUAAAAUACUUAAUAGCCA